rnacentral:rRNA from 1 species
CUUACCGAUGGCGACCGGCGCGCGGGUGAGUAACACGUAUCCAACCUGCCGAUAACUCGGGGAUAGCCUUUCGAAAGAAAGAUUAAUAUCCGAUAGGAUAUCAAGGUCGCAUGAUCUUGAUAUUAAAGAAUUUCGGUUAUCGAUGGGGAUGCGUUCCAUUAGUUAGUUGGCGGGGUAACGGCCCACCAAGACGACGAUGGAUAGGGGUUCUGAGAGGAAGGUCCCCCACAUUGGAACUGAGACACGGUCCAAACUCCUACGGGAGGCAGCAG